rnacentral:rRNA from 1 species
UGAANUUAAAGGCUGUGGCUUAACCAUAGUACGCUUUGGAAACUGUUUAACUUGAGUNCAGAAGGGGAGAGCGGAAUUCCAUGUGUAGCGGUGAAAUGCGUAGAUAUAUGGAGGAACACCGGUGGCGAAAGCGGCUCUCUGGUCUGUAACUGACGCUGAGGCUCGAAAGCGUGGGGAGCGAACAGGAUUAGAUACCCUGGUAGUNCACGCCGUAAACGAUGAGUGCUAGGUGUUAGGCCCUUUCCGGGGCUUAGUGCCGCAGCUAACGCAUUAAGCACUCCGCCUGGGGAGUACGACCGCAAGGUUGAAACUCAAAGGAAUUGACGGGGGCCCGCACAAGCGGUGGAGCAUGUGGUUUAAUUCGAAGCAACGCGAAGAACCUUACCAGGUCUUGACAUCCCGAUGCCCGCUCUAGAGAUAGAGUUUUACUUCGGUACAUCGGUGACAGGUGGUGCAUGGUUGUCGUCAGCUCGUGUCGUGAGAUGUUGGGUUAAGUCCCGCAACGAGCGCAACCCUUAUUGUUAGUUGCCAUCAUUCAGUUGGGCACUCUAGCGAGACUGCCGGUAAUAAACCGGAGGAAGGUGGGGAUGACGUCAAAUCAUCAUGCCCCUUAUGACCUGGGCUACACACGUGCUACAAUGGCUGGUACAACGAGUCGCAAGUCGGUGACGGCAAGCUAAUCUCUUAAAGCCAGUCUCAGUUCGGAUUGUAGGCUGCAACUCGCCUACAUGAAGUCGGAAUCGCUAGUAAUCGCGGAUCAGCACGCCGCGGUGAAUACGUUCCCGGGCCUUGUACACACCGCCCGUCACACCACGAGAGUUUGUAACACCCGAAGUCGGUGAGG